UACGUAGGGUGCAAGCGUUAAUCGGAAUUACUGGGCGUAAAGCGUGCGCAGGCGGUUUUGUAAGACAGAUGUGAAAUGCCCGGGCUUAACCUGGGAACUGCAUUUGUGACUGCAAGGCUAGAGUGUGUCAGAGGGGGGUAGAAUUCCACGUGUAGCAGUGAAAUGCGUAGAUAUGCGGAGGAACACCGAUGGCGAAGGCAACCCCCUGGGCCUGUACUGACGCUCAUGCACGAAAGCGUGGGGAGCAAACAGG
rnacentral:rRNA from 1 species